UAUCUAUAACACAGGGUGUGGUUGCGGCCUUCGGGGGGUGUGGGCGUCUUCUGGCGCCCUCUCUCCCGGGUGGUAGAGGUAAAACUCUCACGCGGCACAUGUCUGAAUCCUUUUUUUACGAGCACCUUUGUUCUCCUUCGGUGGGGCAACCUGCCGUUGGACCCAUCAAAACUCUCUUUGCAUCUAGCAUUACCUGUUCUGAUACCAACAAUAGUUACAACUUUCAACAAUGGAUCUCUUGGCUCUGGCAUCGAUGAAGAACGCAGCGAAAUGCGAUAAGUAGUGUGAAUUGCAGAAUUCAGUGAAUCAUCGAAUCUUUGAACGCACAUUGCGCCCCUUGGUAUUCCAUGGGGCAUGCCUGUUCGAGCGUCAUCUACACCCUCAAGCUCUGCUUGGUGUUGGGCGUCUGUCCCGCCUAUGUGCGUGGACUCGCCCUAAAUCUAUUGGCAGCGGUCCUUGCCUCCUCUCGCGCAGCACAUUGCGCUUCUUGAGGUGUGCGGCCCGCGUCCACGAAGCAACAUUACCGUCUUUGACCUCGGAUCAGGUAGGGAUACCCGCUGAACUUAAGCAUAUCAAUAAGCGGAGGAAAAGAAACCAACAGGGAUUGCCCUAGUAACGGCGAGUGAAGCGGCAACAGCUCAAAUUUGAAAUCUGGCUCUCUCUGAGGGUCCGAGUUGUAAUUUGCAGAGGAUGCUUUGGCAUUGGCGGCGGUCUAAGUUCCUUGGAACAGGACAUCGCAGAGGGUGAGAAUCCCGUACGUGGGCGCCUGCCUUUGCCGUGUAAAGCUCCUUCGACGAGUCGAGUUGUUUGGGAAUGCAGCUCUAAAUGGGAGGUAAAUUUCUUCUAAAGCUAAAUACCGGCCAGAGACCGAUAGCGCACAAGUAGAGUGAUCGAAAGAUGAAAAGUACUUUGGAAAGAGAGUCAAAAAGCACGUGAAAUUGUUGAAAGGGAAGCGCUUGCAGCCAGACUUGCCCGCAGUUGCUCACCUAGGCUUUGGCCUGGGGCACUCUUCUGCGGGCAGGCCAGCAUCAGUUUGGGCGGUUGGAUAAAGGCCUCUAUCACGUAUCUCCCUUCGGGGUGACCUUAUAGGGGAGGCGUAACGCGACCAGCCCGGACUGAGGUCCGCGC
rnacentral:rRNA from 1 species